rnacentral:rRNA from 1 species
GAUGAACGCUAGCUACAGGCUUAACACAUGCAAGUCGAGGGGAAACGACAUCGAAAGCUUGCUUUUGAUGGGCGUCGACCUGCGCACGGGGGAGUAACGCGUAUCCAACCUGCCCAUCACUUUGGAAUAACCUUUCGAAAGUAAGACUAAUACCCAAUUACAUCCCACGAAGACAUCUGAAUGGGAUUAAAGAUUUAUCGGUGAUGGAUGGGGAUGCGUCUGAUUAUCUUGUUGGCGGGGUAACGGCCCACCAAGGCAACGAUCAGUAGGGGUUCUGAGAGGAAGGUCCCGCAAAUUGGAACUGAGACACGGUCCAAACUCCUACGGGAGGCAGCAGUGAGGAAUAUUGGUCAAUGGGCGAGAGCCUGAACCAGCCAAGUAGCGUGCAGGAUGACGGCCCUAUGGGUUGUAAACUGCUUUUAUAAGGGAAUAAAGUGGGUCUCGUGAGACUUUUUGCAUGUACCUUAUGAAUAAGGACCGGCUAAUUCCGUG